GACGAACGCUGGCGGCGUGCUUAACACAUGCGAGUCGAACGGAAAGGCCCUGCUUUUGUGGGGUGCUCGAGUGGCGAACGGGUGAGUAACACGUGAGUAACCUGCCCUUGACUUUGGGAUAACUUCAGGAAACUGGGGCUAAUACCGGAUAGGAGCUCCUGCUGCAUGGUGGUGGUUGGAAAGUUUCGGCGGUUGGGGAUGGACUCGCGGCUUAUGAGCUCGUUGGUGGGGUAGUGGCUUACCAAGGCUUUGACGGGUAGCCGGCCUGAGAGGGUGACCGGCCACAUUGGGACUGGGAUACGGCCCGGACUCCUACGGGGGGCAGCAGUGGGGAAUAUUGCACAAUGGGCGGAAGCCUGAUGCAGCAACGCCGGGUGCGGGAUGGCGGCCUUCGGGUUGGAAACCGUUUGCGCCUGUGACGAAGCGUGAGUGACGGUAAUGGGUAAAGAAGCACCGGCUAACUACGUG
rnacentral:rRNA from 1 species